rnacentral:rRNA from 1 species
UACAGAGGUCUCAAGCGUUGUUCGGAUUCAUUGGGCGUAAAGCGUGCGCAGGCGGUUUUGUAAGCCAGAUGUGAAAUCCCCGGGCUCAACCUGGGAAUGGCAUUUGGGACUGCAAGGCUUGAGUGCGGCAGAGGAGACUGGAAUUCCUGGUGUAGCAGUGAAAUGCGUAGAUAUCAGGAGGAAUACCGAUGGCGAAGGCAGGUCUCUGGGCUGACACUGACGCUCAUGCACGAAAGCGUGGGGAGCAAACAGG